CAAGCAAUUGGCUGAAUUAAUAUCAGCAGCAUUUUCAGAAGUGGGUGAGGACAAGAGAUCUAAUGGUGACGAGAGCAACUGGUGGCCCUGAAUAUGAAAUUUGAAGAAUUUUUUCUUAAAUACUGAAUUUGCAAAGAAACAGACAAAACAGGAUAUAUGCAUUAUGCCCUUGCCAGAAGCAUCCAAUGUAUAACUUGAGGGAAGAGGUGUUGAAUUUCAGAAACAUAUCAAAUUCCUUGCUGAAGACCUAGAAUAUUAUCCACUUAUCCUCAUUAAACUUAUCCUCAUUAAACAGUGGUUGAGCCAUCAGCACUGGCACAGAUCCCGUUUACUAUGACAGCCAGACUGCUGAAUCCUCCUCUGGCCAGUCGUUGUCACAGUUGGCUGCUUUGAUAAUUACAAAAGCCUGUUCUAAAGUGGGGCUGUAGCUACUAAGUAGCCCAGGCAGAUUGCACUCCAGCCAAGGCACUAAGAACAACAGCAAGUUGCCGUGCAGCAGCAGAGGGUAUCAAUGAUUCUGCAUCCUUCCCCCAGAGCUGCAAAAUGCUGGGGGCCAUCUGCCCUGAAACACAGUCGAUAAACACAUCUGAGGAAUCAGCAGGCAAACAUAAUUCUCCUAAACCACCACUGACAGGAGCCCGCACAUCAUCCAUC